rnacentral:lncRNA from 1 species
CUUUUCAUCAUCUCUCUUGGUUUGAGGUUGAGUGAAACAACGUGGAAGUGACACUGAGGGAAUGGAAUUUAAUUGAUUGGGAACAGAGGAAAUUUACUAGGCUGUCAAAGCUUCUGUUGAUAACGCCCCUACUGCAGUUUGCAGUUUUCCUUUUGGUGCUGCACCUCAUGGCCAGCGUGGAACUGGGACUGGCCUUGAAAGUGCUUCAAAGUUAAUGUGGAGAAAAGGGUACUGACAGUUUUGAGAAAGAGGGAACACCUGUAUUUCAGGCCAGUUAGGAGGUCUCAGGAAGCACUGAACAGUGUACAACCGAUUGUCUACCUGCAUGAAUAGAAAUGAAGUCAUGGAGGUCAACUCACUGUUUUAUACCCUCCACGAAUUUUCUGUUUCUUGAAGAUCCCAUGGUUGCUGUGAGAUCGUCUCAAACAUCCUUCGACAAGCCAGAAAGGGAAAGGAAGAGAUGCUGAGAGGCAGCAGCACUGCAGUAAGAAAUGAGCAGGUAUCAG